UUCAUUUUCUCUCAACACAACACAAACAUCUCUCUCAUACUCCCUCAUCCUCUCCCACGGUACCCACUCCAAUUCAACAUCUCCACCAUCAUUUUUCCGGCAAGAUCACCAGAAAAUUCUUGAGAAUCUAUAAGUACCUUCACAUCCUUUUUAUGAGGUUCUAGCUAAUCUCCUUGGAGCUUGGAGAAUUAGGCUUUUGCGGUUGUGAGGGAAAUCAUGGAAUUUAUGGUAUAUUAGAAAAUUUAAAGAUGUUUAUCUUGUCUUAUUAUGUGGAAAUUGAUAGAAAAUCUCUUGACAAGAAUGAAGUCGAAAACCUUACGAACUUUGUGGAAGUUAGAUUAUUUAAGGUUUUUCUGAAACUACCUCAAUAUAAACUAUGUGUUUCAAAGUAAUGUAACAUAUGAGUUUUAUGUAGUUUUAACACCAUGCCAUGUGUGAUUUCCCGGUGAUCACCCCAAUUUGGUUUUCGUAGUCUUUGUGACAACGAAAUCAAAUCUAGGUCAGUGCCCUUUCACUUUGGAUGACGCAUUCUUCUCUACUGUCCAUGGGGGAAAGAGGUUCCUUGAUUGUAUGUGGGUGAGGCUACUACCCAUAGGGCCAAGAGACUACAUGCAAGAGAGGUCCUAUUUGAUGCACUCUCUCUGCUGCCCAUGGGGGGAGAGAAAAACCUUAAGGGUAUGGGUGAGGCUGCUGUCCAUGUGGCCAAGAGUCUACAUACCAGAGAGAACAAUAUCAUGCCAGUUGUGAAUGAGUGGAUCCCCAGACCGGUCUAUGUGGUAGUGUGGUAUAUUUGUGAUAAUUUACCUUAUGUUAAAUAUUAUGACUUGAAAAUUAUAUUGUUGAUGCUCACAGAUUAUAGUAUAUAGUUUCAAGGUAUUUACUUUAAGAAAUUUUAUGUUUCAUUAUUCAGUCAUUCUUGUCAUAUCAUAUUAUUAUUAUUGAAAAUGAAACUUGCAUUUUCCCCACUCCCAUUAAUUAUGCUACUUAUUGGGCUCUGUCUCAUCCCAUUAUUUAUAAACUUUUAAGAGUAGGCAACAAUCUUUUGAGACAGCUUUUUGGUGGCUAACAGUAGUUAGACUAAUUACUGAUGGAGGCUGAAUUUUUGUGAUGGAGAUAUUAGAUGAUGUACAUCUUAAAAUAGGUUUGACUCAUUUCUUUUGUUUAUUAUAGUGGUUGUGACUUUAUUCCUACUGAUGGGACAAGCUAAUAAUAUGUAAUUAUUUAUUCAGACAUCUAUUCCUUUGUGGCCAAUGGUCCUUCUAAUUGUUGCAUGGAGCUCUGACUUACUUUGAGAGUAUAUUUAAUGGAAUUAUUAUGACAAUUCUUGAUGCUGGUACUUGAUAUAAUUUAAUUGGAUUUUAU